GACAUAGGUGGCGAACGUUAUCCGGAAUUAUUGGGCGUAAAGGGUGCGUAGAUGGUAUGAUAAGUUAUCAGUGGUAAAUCGGGGCUCAACCUCGUGGAAGCUGGUAAUACUGUUAUACUUGAGUACAGGAGAGGUUAAUGGAAUUCCCUGUGGAGCGGUAAAAUGCGUUAGAUAUAGGGAAGAACACCAAGAACGGCGAAGGCAAUUAACUAGUCUGAUACUGACAUUGAGGUACGAAAGCGUGGGGAGCAAAAAGG
rnacentral:rRNA from 1 species